rnacentral:rRNA from 1 species
GACGAACGCUGGCGGCGUGCUUAACACAUGCAAGUCGAACGGAAAGGCCCUGCUUGCAGGGUGCUCGAGUGGCGAACGGGUGAGUAACACGUGGGUGAUCUGCCCCUUACUUUGGGAUAAGCCUGGGAAACUGGGUCUAAUACUGGAUAGGACCAUGCUGUAGGUGGUGUGGUGGAAAGAUUAGUUUCGGUAAGGGAUGAGCUCGCGGCCUAUCAGCUUGUUGGUGGGGUAAUGGCCUACCAAGGCGUCGACGGGUAGCCGGCCUGAGAGGGUGGACGGCCACAUUGGGACUGAGAUACGGCCCAGCAGCCUACGAGAGGCAGCAGUGGGGAAUAGUGCAAAAUGGGCGCAAGCCUGAUGCAGCGACGCCGCGUGGGGGAUGACGGCCUUCGGGUUGUAAACUCCUUUCAGCCAUGACGAAGCCCUUGUGGUGACGGUAGUGGUAGAAGAAGCACCGGCUAACUACGUG